UACGAAGGGGGCUAGCGUUGCUCGGAAUGACUGGGCGUAAAGGGCGCGUAGGCGGACAAUCAAGUCAGGGGUGAAAGCCUCCAGCUCAACUGGAGAAGUGCCUUUGAUACUGACUGUCUCGAGGGAGGUAGGGGCAUGUGGAACUUCCGGUGGAGCGGUGAAAUGCGUAGAUAUCGGAAGGAACGCCGGUGGCGAAAGCGACGUGCUGGACCUCUUCUGACGCUGAGGCGCGAAAGCUAGGGGAGCAAACGGG
rnacentral:rRNA from 1 species